AGAGUUUGAUCCUGGCUCAGAUUGAACGCUGGCGGCAGGCCUAACACAUGCAAGUCGAGCGGAUGACAGGAGCUUGCUCCUGAAUUCAGCGGCGGACGGGUGAGUAAUGCCUAGGAAUCUGCCUGGUAGUGGGGGACAACGUUUCGAAAGGAACGCUAAUACCGCAUACGCCCUACGGGAGAAAGCAGGGGACCUUCGGGCCUUGCGCUAUCAGAUGAGCCUAGGUCGGAUUAGCUAGUUGGUGAGGUAAUGGCUCACCAAGGCGACGAUCCGUAACUGGUCUGAGAGGAUGAUCAGUCACACUGGAACUGAGACACGGUCCAGACUCCUACGGGAGGCAGCAGUGGGGAAUAUUGGACAAUGGGCGAAAGCCUGAUCCAGCCAUGCCGCGUGUGUGAAGAAGGUCUUCGGAUUGUAAAGCACUUUAAGUUGGGAGGAAGGGCAUUAACCUAAUACGUUAGUGUUUUGACGUUACCGACAGAAUAAGCACCGGCUAACUCUGUGCCAGCAGCCGCGGUAAU
rnacentral:rRNA from 1 species